rnacentral:misc_RNA from 1 species
UACAGAGGGUGCGAGCGUUAUUCGGAAUUACUGGGCGUAGAGCGCGCGUAGGCGGUUUGAUAAGCAGGAUGUGAAAGCCCCGGGCUUAACCUGGGAAUGGCACUCUGAACUGUCUGACUGGAGUAUGGUAGAGGGUAGUGGAAUUUCCGGUGUAGCGGUGAAAUGCGUAGAUAUCGGAAGGAACACCAGUGGCGAAGGCGACUACCUGGACCAAUACUGACGCUGAGGUGCGAAAGCGUAGGGAGCAAACAGG